UUCACAAGACCCACCCAUGAAAACAUACAGAUACUCGUCAUUUUUUUGGAUGGAAUUGAUUUAUACCUCACCAUAGCUAUACACUGAUACUCACUAAGAAAAAGAAGGAUUUUUUUUUCGCUCUUGGACAUAAACACACAGACCCCCCAACCUCCAUUCAACUCCAUUUUUACAUACACAUACCCAUAUAUAUCUCCAUUCGGUAACAGAAAAG
rnacentral:lncRNA from 1 species